AUACGGAGGGGGCUAGCGUUGCUCGGAAUUACUGGGCGUAAAGGGCGUGUAGGCGGCUUGUUAAGUCGGAUGUGAAAGCCCCGGGCUCAACCUGGGAAUUGCGUUCGAUACUGCAUGACUAGAGUAUGGGAGAGGGAAGUGGAAUUUCCGGUGUAGCGGUGAAAUGCGUAGAUAUCGGAAGGAACACCAGUGGCGAAGGCGACUUCCUGGCCCAAUACUGACGCUAAGGUGCGAAAGCGUGGGGAGCAAACAGGAUUAGAAACCCCAGUAGUCC
rnacentral:rRNA from 1 species